ensembl:snRNA U6 U6 spliceosomal RNA
GUGCACACUUCGGCAGCACCUACACUAAAAUUGGGAUGAUACACAGAAGGCCGGAGUGGCCACCGCGCAAGGAUGACACGCAAAGGUGUGCUGUGUCCCGAAUUUUC